GCGUUGUUGGGUAGGGGAGCGUUCUGUAAGCCGUUGAAGGUGGCCUGUGAGGGUUGCUGGAGGUAUCAGAAGUGCGAAUGCUGACAUAAGUAACGAUAAAGCGGGUGAAAAGCCCGCUCGCCGGAAGACCAAGGGUUCCUGUCCAACGUUAAUCGGGGCAGGGUGAGUCGACCCCUAAGGCGAGGCUGAAAAGCGUAGUCGAUGGGAAACAGGUUAAUAUUCCUGUACUUGGUGUUACUGCGAAGGGGGGACGGAGAAGGCUAGGCUAGCCGGGCGACGGUUGUCCCGGUUUAAGCGUGUAGGGGGUGUGACCUGGUAAAUCCGGUUGCAU
rnacentral:rRNA from 1 species